GAUUUCGAAACUCUGAUUUCAGAUCCUUCAAUGCAUUUUUAAUAACGUUAAAGGGCCUCUUACGUGUUUUCGGUCGAAAAUAACUCGUUCUGAAUUUAAUCGUAUACGCUCCGAAAACGUCUUGUCCGACCGCAAUAGUUUCGCGAAAAGACGUGGUAGAAUUUUCACAUUUCAUCGAAGUAUACGUAAAAUAUAUUUAUUUUUUCAAAGUUCGUU